ACAAUUUCCUGGCAGGGUAGAUACCAUGAUCACAAAGGUCGUUUUUCCCAGGGCGAGGCUUAUCUGUUGCACUCCUGAUGUGUGCUGAUCCAUCCCUAUGAUUUCCACAUAUGUGAGAUGCUCAACUGCAUAAUUGGUGGUAGUAGGGGACUGUGUUUAUGCUUUCCCUUA